AUGAGCUCAUCUUCCAAGACUCUCUCCGGCCACGAAUAUUCCAUGAUUUGCAACGACGUGACAAUGAAUACCGGAGAGGGUUUAGAGAGAAGGAUACGAAGGUGUGGUGUGGUUGAUGAAAUUACAAAGUCAAUCAAUUCAGUGAUGUUCUUGAAGUCGAUGCAGCGAGUUAAAGCUAUCUGA